UACGAAGGGGGCGAGCGUUGUUCGGAUUUACUGGGCGUAAAGGGCGCGUAGGCGGCGAUAUAAGUCAGGCGUGAAAGCCCCGGGCUCAACCUGGGAGGUGCGCUUGGGACUAUAUGGCUGGAGUUCGGGAGAGGAGCGUGGAAUUCCCAGUGUAGAGGUGAAAUUCGUAGAUAUUGGGAAGAACACCGGUGGCGAAGGCGGCGCUCUGGACCGAGACUGACGCUGAGGCGCGAAAGCGUGGGGAGCAAACAGG
rnacentral:rRNA from 1 species